GUCUGCAGAACUGGGGAAACACAAGCAGGGAAUGUCCUCUGACAUCCUCUUAAGUUGUAUGGGUGUGGUGGCUCCUAGAAACCCAGGGCAGUCUCUGCAGGUUGUGCAACACUUCCAAGCAACCCUGGAGAGUAUUAAACCUUACAGUUGCUGGAAGAUGGUCUACUCGCCCGGAGUCCGCCUGGCGCGCGCAGUACCAGCGGCUCCCGGCGCUCUCGGCCGCCGGGACACUCUCCGCCCCGGACGCCGUCUCGGGCCUGAGAACAGGUGGCCUCGGAGAGGAGCGCGCCGACAGUCGCCUCUCACUCACCCAGAAGAUGAAGUUAAAUCCGAAGAGCAGGGUGAAGAGGCCCUUCUCAAUAUCCUUUACAGUUUUCUCUUCCUCACCCCUGCAGGAAGUUUCCUUAGCAUUCUUCAUUGCAAAAGCAAACCGUACUUAUUACAGAAACAUCAGAAAAUAUCAGAAAGCAAAAAGAAUGCUUGUCCGUGUGGAUUGCUUGGUGUGACUCUGGGCGUCAGCGUAUUCCUGUAUUGAUACACACGUGGGUGGGGCCUUGGGUUUCAUUCCCAGCACACCUGUAACUCCAGUUCCAGAGGAUCUGACACCAUCUCCUGGCCUCUGUGGGCACCAGACAUGCAGGUGGUGCCCAGGCAUUCAAGCUAACAAAACAGCCAUACCAACAUAAUACAAAUUCAGAUUAAAAAAAAAUCUAAAAGACCAUUUGCCUGGAUUAAUUUCCAUCCCUUGCUGGCUUUCUGUAAAUAUCUCUGGCAUAAGUUCAUGGAGACAAACCUCACUCAAGGGUUGGUCCUCAGGGGUCUGCUUUGCUCUUGGCUUUCGAGUCUCAUUAAGGAGCCCAGAGUCUUUGAUUCUAGAUCCUCUUGCCUUAUCCUUUUGAGAAUUGGAUUUCCUUCCUUCCUUCCUUCCUUCCGCAUCAGCUCCUACUUCCUAACCUGCUUGAGUUCCAGUCCUGACCCAGGCACUUUGCUUCAGUCCUGUGUCCUGAAGGGUUUCACAGCUCUGUUUGGCAGUGGGUGAGUCCCGUGGUUUCUUCCCCUCCUGCCCGUUUAGCAGGAUUGCAGCAUCCUUUGCUUUGAGAGCUGUCCUCCAAGCUGGGUGUGUCAUUGCUGGCACCCCACCCACCUUUCGAUCCACCUUUGCUGAGCAAGCCAGGUAAACGGAAUGCCAGGCCCCUGGGUGCCCUGACCCAGACCCCUGAGUGCCCUGACUUGCCCUCCACCCGAGAUUUCGAUGCAUGUCUUUCUGAUUCUCCACUCCAUGAUGUCUGCACCCUGGAAUUUCUACUGCUGGAGGCUGUCCUUCACCCACUACCCUUUGGGGCCCAUUGAGAGGCUAACUCUGUUUAGCCCUAGCUUUGUAUCUGCUUCUAAUUAUAGUUUUAAAAUAACUUAUUUAUUCACAUAAUUAAAAAAUGAGGAUGCAAAGGAGUAAAAAGAAAAAUGGGUUCUGGAAACUUAACAUGUGAGACAGACUUGGGACUCAGGUAGGCGAUGUGUGCUUCUCAUUAGACUCCCAGUUCAGACGGAACAAUUGUUAACUUUUUUUUUUUCAGGCAUGUAGGGAGACAUUAAUUAAGAAUUUUGGGGGUCAUGUCUCUGUGUAGCUUAGGCUGAUCUUGAAGUUGCAAUCCUACUGCCUUGGCCUCUUGAGUAUUGUGACUACAGGCCUGGCUAGGGAACCCUAAACAAAGACUAAUCAUUAACUGAUAUUAUUAAACAUUAUUAUUAUUAUUGUUUUUAGAAGCAGCAUCUCACUGACCCUACACAGAACUUGCUACAUAGAGCAGGCUGGCCUGAAACUCUGAUGUUUGCCACCUGAUGUGUGCCACUGCUCCAGCCUUAAGGAAAUUUGGGUUUGUCAUGUAUGAAGACGACACUGUCAUUUUCAAGAAAGUCUCGAGCCUCGGAGACACACGCUGAGAUGUCUGUAUCCCUGCUUUCAGUUGACAAUCCAGGUCCUGUGUCGAGGCUGGACCAACAAUUGCUCAUCCUCUGGUGGGCCUUUUGGAGAUGUGGUUGCCUUUGAGUCUUCCAUGGUCCUGAAAGAAACCCCUCACUUAAAGUCCUGUAAUCAACAAUAAUAAACUCUCUGGUUCACUAAGCUGUAUGAAAGAAGAAUAUGUUCAGAGAGAACUCUGAUAAAGAGUCGGAGAAACAUGACUGUGAUGGCUUCUCAGGUUGCAGUCCUUCAUGGGGGGGGGGGUUGGGGCAGAG
rnacentral:lncRNA from 1 species